rnacentral:sRNA from 1 species
AGCACAAGAUUCUCUACACUUAACAAAUGGCUGCCGGAAGUAUCUGGUCAUGCUGAAGCUGGGUGCGCUCUCUAGGAAGUACCUUAGGGAGGCUUUUACAUGGCCAGUGGAUAGCAUACGUGCUUAUGUAUACAUGUGAACUCUGUUUUUCAUGCAGUCAGCUGAGCAAGUUGCAAGAAGUUUCUCUGAGGAACUGUGCAGUAAGUUGUGCUGGUGAAAAAGGAGGAGUUGCUGAAGCAUGUCCUAAUAUCAGAAAGGUAGAUUUGUCAAAAAACCUGUUGUCAUCAUGGGAUGAAGUGAUACACAUUGCUGAUCAGCUCAGACACCUGGAAGUCCUUAAUGUCAGUGAAAAUAAACUAAAAUUUCCCUCCGGUUCAGUAUUAACUGGAACGCUUUCUGCACUGAAGGUUUUAGUCCUCAAUCAAACAGGAAUAACGUGGGCUGAGGCUCAUGCGCAGUGUGGUGGCAGCAGGCACAGUCUCGACAUGCAGAAAGACGCCAGCAAGUUCGUGGAUCUGUGCGUGCUGCAGAAAUGCUCCACCAGCAACUGCAUCAUCAGUGCCAAGG